UUACAUUUGUUUCAUCAUAAA
rnacentral:piRNA from 1 species